UUGAACGCUGGCGGCAGGCCUAACACAUGCAAGUCGAGCGGAUGAAGGGAGCUUGCUCCUGGAUUCAGCGGCGGACGGGUGAGUAAUGCCUAGGAAUCUGCCGGGUAGUGGGGGAUAACGUCCGGAAACGGGCGCUAAUACCGAAUACGUCCUGAGGGAGAAAGUGGGGGAUCUUCGGACCUCACGCUAUCAGAGGAGCCUAGGUCGGAUUAGCUAGUUGGUGGGGUAAAGGCCUACCAAGGCGACGAUCCGUAACUGGUCUGGGAGGAUGAUCAGUCACACUGGAACUGAGACACGGUCCAGACUCCUACGGGAGGCAGCAGUGGGGAAUAUUGGACAAAGGGCGAAAGCCUGAUCCAGCCAUGCCGCGUGUGUGGAGAAGGUCUUCGGAUUGUAAAGCACUUUAAGUUGGGAGGAAGGGCAGUAAGUUAAUACCUUGCUGUUUUGACGUUACCAACAGAAUAAGCACCGGCUAACUUCGUG
rnacentral:rRNA from 1 species